rnacentral:rRNA from 1 species
GACGAACGCUGGCGGCGUGCCUAAUACAUGCAAGUUGAGCGCUGAAGGUUGGUACUUGUACCAACUGGAUGAGCAGCGAACGGGUGAGUAACGCGUGGGGAAUCUGCCUUUGAGCGGGGGACAACAUUUGGAAACGAAUGCUAAUACCGCAUAAAAACUUUAAACACAAGUUUUAAGUUUGAAAGAUGCAAUUGCAUCACUCAAAGAUGAUCCCGCGUUGUAUUAGCUAGUUGGUGAGGUAAAGGCUCACCAAGGCGAUGAUACAUAGCCGACCUGAGAGGGUGAUCGGCCACAUUGGGACUGAGACACGGCCCAAACUCCUACGGGAGGCAGCAGUAGGGAAUCUUCGGCAAUGGACGAAAGUCUGACCGAGCAACGCCGCGUGAGUGAAGAAGGUUUUCGGAUCGUAAAACUCUGUUGGUAGAGAAGAACGUUGGUGAGAGUGGAAAGCUCAUCAAGUGACGGUAACUACCCAGAAA